CGAAGCAGCUCCUUAGUCCGGUCUACUUCCGGGUUGAAGACACGCCUCUUCCGGUCUGUGAACCAGCGUGAUCCACAUCAACAAACGGAGCAGGUCUCUUGGAGUUCGGGUUAGGGUCUUAAAGGUGAAUAGUCCCGGUCUGUGGAGAUCCCGGUAACCCGGUCCGUUGGUUGCCAUGGUGAAGUGUGUUGUUUCCGGGUGUCCGAACCGUGUGAGGAACCUUCACGGGACCAUGAACCGACCCAAGACCUUCUUCAGCUUCCCCACGGACCCGACCCGAGUCAAGGUAUGGCUGGCCGCUCUGAGGGAGACGGACAAGCUGGACUCCACAGAGCAUCAUUUAAUCUGUGAAGACCACUUCCUGCCCAACGACAUCACCACAGACGGCGUCAAAAGUGACGCCAUCCCCAUCAUGUCCCCCUACCUGGACGGGUCCAUGGGCAUGAUCAGCUCCUGGGAGGCCGAUCCACAGGAGGAAGAGGAUCAGUGGGAGGAAGGAGAUGAUGAUGGAGAGGAUGAGGAGGAUGAGUUUGAAGGUGGAUAUGAUGCUCCUGCUUUUGCUAAGCCUUCUGCACCAGAACUUUCUACACCACAACUUCCUGCACCAGAACUUCCUACACUACAACUUCCUGCACCAGAACCUCCUACACUACAACUUCCUGCACCAGAACCUCCUACACUACAACUUCCUGCACCAGAACCUCCUACACUACAACUUCCUGCACCAGAACCUCCUGCAUCAGAACUUCCUGCACCACAACAUCCUACACUACAACUUCCUGCACCAGCUGUGGCUCCACCUCCUAAACUGGAUCCACCUCCUGCCAUCAGGGCACCAGUGAAGGAUCCAGACACCAAGGAGACACCAGGGACCAAGAGCCCAGGCCUCAAGCAGCAAGUGAAGCGAGUCAGGAGGGAGAGACCUGUCUCAGGCGUACCCGUCGCGCUGCGUUUCCUGGAGUUGCUGCAGUCGCUCCCCGGCUCCAUGCUGGACAUCAGGAAGGUUUGCACGAUGCUGCAGACCUGCAAGCGCCGCAUCUCUGACAUCAGCAGCGUGCUGGAGGGCGUCAACCUGGUGGAGAAGAUGAGGAACAGGGUCAGAUGGAUCGGAGGCAGCGACUGCUCCAGCCCUCUGGCCCUGCUGACCCUCCGUACAGAGAUCGAGGACCUGAAGGUGAUGGAGGAGAAGCUGAACAGCCUCAUUAAGACCUGCUCCCAGCAGCUGUUUGACAUGACGGACGACAGGGAGGACGCUGCCCUGGCCUACGUGACGCUGCAGGACAUCAGCAGCCUGGAAGCCUUCAGAGAGCAGACGCUGAUGGUGGUCAAAGCUCCUGAUGAAACCACGCUGAAGGUUCCCGCUCCCUCAGAGGACUGGAUCCAGGUCCAUCUGAAGAGUGGGAGCGGUCCCGUCACGGUGCUGACCUGUGACCCCGGGUCUGAAGACGGGGCAGCAGCAGAGAGGAGCGGCUGCUUCUUACCUCUGGAGGAGAGUCAGAUCAACACGUCUGCUCUGCACGGAGAUUUAUCAUGAGCCGCCUUUUAUCAUCACAGGUCUGUGGAACACCCUGAAGGUCUGAGGGCGGCACAGAGUCAACAUCUUUAAAGACAAACUCAAGACCCACCUUUUAGUCUCACUUUAAACUGAGUGUCCUCCAGCUGACCACCAGAGGGCGCCGCUGAUCCAUGAACGUCACACAGGUCUGGAACAACCUGCAGACGCCUGAAGAGAUCAGAUCCAGGGACCAGGAGCGUCUGAUCCGAUCACCGCUCAGACCAUGAGACUCUGACAGACUGAGGUCAGAUACAUCAGGAGACACACACUCAGCUGAUCUCAACAUUUUAAAAACAUCAGACACAAAGUGAGGAGAGGAAACGAGGGAGUCAUGAUCGUCUGGAUCCGUCAGCUCUCUGAAGAAGAAACCCAGAGGACGAUGAAGACGAUGAGGACGAUGAAGACGAGCUCAAAGUAGAGCAUGGACUAAAAUAAACUUCUUCACGUUCAGACUUUAUUAUUUUACUUUUUUAUCAAACUCAGGUUUUAAAAUGUUGAUUUGUUUUAGCUGCUCCUGAAUGAUGUCAGUCCCUCUAACUCAAUCACAGCGUCUUAUUAAACUAUGCAUUACUGUGUUUACUUUAACAUCACAAACACUUUAGAGACCAAGAAACACCAGAACAAAUCUCCAUCUUUAAAAACAGAGAAACACGUCUGAAUAUUUAUCUAAAGGUUCAAACAGAGAGAGGAGAUCUGUGUCAUGAAGACGAUCAGGGGGAGAUUCACUUUCAGAGGAUGAAGAAUAAUUCACUUUGUUUCUUUAUUCUUAUCUCUUUUUAUCUCUUCUUAUUCUUGUUCUCCUGUUCAUGAGUUCCAAUCUGAUCCGUUCAGUUCACAGAAACCGAAGUAAGAGUGUGUUUGAUGAACUGGUGAAUGAAGCGCGUUCACACUCGUCACUGACUUGUUGUCUUUAUGUUUCUACAGAGACGUGAAUGUUCUCAUGUAUAGCUUCAGUUCACUGCAGAGAGGAUUCCUGUCUUUUAUUGAACUCCACUCUUCAUGUUCUGAUUCUUUGACUUCCUGUUUCUUCUUCUUCUUGGAUAUAAAGAUGUUUCACUCUGA